UCAAUGCUCAUACAGGUGGAACACAAGAGAUCUGAUGUCCAGAUGUUCAAAGUUACAUACACUUGAAUGGACUAAUAGACUUCAUAUUCUCAGCAAAAUAUAUAACUGAAGAUCAAAUGUGAAUUCGUAAAAAACAUUAUAUUAAGAUGAAUCAACUAAUCUAGAUGCCAUUACACACAUUACUGACUUUCAGAAAUGCUAAGUAAGUAAUUGAGAUUGUAAAUUUAAGGAAGACGGUCUGCAUUCAUGAGAUUUCAAGCAGUUACAACUUCCAUGCUUUCACUUCAUCUCCUAGAGAAUCAAGGAGUACCUGGAGUUUGAAACGCAAUACAGGAGAAGGAUUAGCAACAAAGCAGUAGCAAGAUAGUGUCCUAACAGCAAAAUUAACCAAAAAAAUCAAUGAGAAACCAUUCUAAACCAAGUUUGGAUUCACAGCCACAACAUCUAACCCCUAGAUCGAGUGCAGUCUGAGCCUGAAACCCAGCCCUCGAACAACAAACAAAAUUCAACUCAUUUUUUAAGCCCUCAACUGUUCUAUAUUCAUAUUCUAGUCAAUAUCGAUAGAAUUUACAAAGAUCAUUUCAAUGGAACACUAGACCUUAGCGAAUUCUUUCAGAUUUAGCAACUCCAAAUUUGUAGAGUUUGAAAUGAUCCUUCCUUCUCUCUCUAAAAAUCUGAAUUGAAUCCCAAGUAACAUUGCCUUUAUAGGCAAGUUACUAGGGCAAACUUCAGACCUAAGUUUUUAACACUUAGCCCUUUUCAAUUUUCCAUUUUGAACCAAUU
rnacentral:lncRNA from 1 species